UUCAUUCUCUUUUUUGUAGAAAAACGAAAUGAAUGUGAGGCACAUGACCUAACGACAACUGUUGAGACAGAGGAGGAUCCAGAGGAUAUUUCUGACAUUAAUCGGCGUCAACGGAAAAAGAAAGUCAUGAAGGACUUCUUAACAGUACCAGACAUUCGGAUCCCAAGGCCACCAACCAAACCUUGUCCAGAAACUCCAGGACAAGAUCCACAGCUCAGUUUAGGUGCAAGGAAUGUUUUGUCAAAAGGGCCUAGUACAAGCCUUCGCUCACCAAGUCAUUCCCCAAUAAGGUCGCCCAGUAGUACACCAGGAAGUUCACCACAAAUAAACUCUGGACUGUCAGCACCA